rnacentral:misc_RNA from 1 species
CAUCUCCAAACAUACCUAAAAACUGAAAUAUUUGAAAGAAUGAGAAAUACAACUGCACAUCCAACCCUUUCUAAAUCAAGACCCAAUACCAACCUCCAAACUGUUAUAAGUAAGCAGUAGAGCAGUUAGGAGGUUAGUCCAAUAGUUAGAUAGGAAGAUUCUAUUGUACUAGUAUAUUGUAAUUACUCUUCAGUCAAUUGUAAUC